AGAUUAAGUUAUUAAGGGCGCACGGUGGAUGCCUUGGCACUAGAAGCCGAUGAAGGACGUUACUAACGACGAUAUGCUUUGGGUAGCUGUAAGUAAGCGUUGAUCCAGAGAUUUCCGAAUGGGGGAACCCAGCAUGAGUUAUGUCAUGUUAUCGACAUGUGAAUUCAUAGCAUGUCAGAAGGCAGACCCGGAGAACUGAAACAUCUUAGUACCCGGAGGAAGAGAAAGAAAAAUCGAUUCCCUGAGUAGCGGCGAGCGAAACGGGAAGAGCCCAAACCAACAAGCUUGCUUGUUGGGGUUGUAGGACACUCUAUACGGAGUUACAAAAGAACAUGUUAGACGAAUCAUCUGGAAAGAUGAAUCAAAGAAGGUAAUAAUCCUGUAGUCGAAAACAUAUUCUCUCUUGAGUGGAUCCUGAGUACGACGGAGCACGUGAAAUUCCGUCGGAAUCUGGGAGGACCAUCUCCUAAGGCUAAAUACUCUCUAGUGACCGAUAGUGAACCAGUACCGUGAGGGAAAGGUGAAAAGUACCCCGGAAGGGGAGUGAAAGAGAACUUGAAACCGUGUGCUUACAAGUAGUCAGAGCCCGUUAAUGGGUGAUGGCGUGCCUUUUGUAGAAUGAACCGGCGAGUUACGAUCUGAUGCAAGGUUAAGCAGCAAAUGUGGAGCCGCAGCGAAAGCGAGUCUGAAUAGGGCGUUGAGUAUUUGGUCGUAGACCCGAAACCAGGUGAUCUACCCUUGGUCAGGUUGAAGUUCAGGUAACACUGAAUGGAGGACCGAACCGACUUACGUUGAAAAGUGAGCGGAUGAACUGAGGGUAGCGGAGAAAUUCCAAUCGAACUUGGAGAUAGCUGGUUCUCUCCGAAAUAGCUUU
rnacentral:rRNA from 1 species